UACGUAGGGAGCAAGCGUUGUCCGGAAUCAUUGGGCGUAAAGCGCGCGUAGGUGGCCCCAUAAGUCCGCUGUGAAAGUCAAAGGCUCAACCUUUGAAAGCCGGUGGAUACUGUGGGACUAGAGUACGGAAGAGGCGAGUGGAAUUCCUGGUGUAGCGGUGGAAUGCGCAGAUAUCAGGAGGAAUACCGGUGGUGUAGACGGCUCUCUGGACCGCAACUGACGCUGAGACACGAAAGCGUGGGUAGCAAACAGG
rnacentral:rRNA from 1 species